rnacentral:lncRNA from 1 species
UGAUGUUAAUGAACGCCUUAAGGAAGAAAAGGCUUCAAGUCGGCCAGUAACGGAAGUGGAGACAUUAAAAACAGAAAACGCCCGCUUGGAGGCCAUGGUUUCGCAACUGCAAGCCGAAGUACGUACCUUGAAAACGCAGCUGACUGAAGCUAGAAGGCCUGCAGCAACUACAACAACCAGCUCACACUAUUACACAGCAAGCCCACUUCCAAAUCCCAGAUCAGUUGUGCCAAGCUGUACAGAUCCGUCCCCAGUCUUGUCUGCCAGUCAGGUCUAUACAUUCGAUGAGUUGGAUGCAGAAGAAGAGGUAUGUA